GAUGAACGCUGGCGGCGUGCCUAAUACAUGCAAGUCGAGCGAACAGACGAGGAGCUUGCUCCUCUGACGUUAGCGGCGGACGGGUGAGUAACACGUGGAUAACCUACCUAUAAUACUGGGAUAACUUCGGGAAACCGGAGCUAAUACCGGAUAAUAUAUUGAACCGCAUGGUUCAAUAGUGAAAGACGGUUUUGCUGUCACUUAUAAAUGGAUCCGCGCCGCAUUAGCUAGUUGGUAAGGUAACGGCUUACCAAGGCAACGAUGCGUAGCCGACCUGAGAGGGUGAUCGCCCACCCCGGAACUGAGCCACGGUCCAGACUCCUACGGGAGGCAGCAGUAGGGAAUCUUCCGCAAUGGGCGAAAGCUUGACGGAGCAACGCCGCGUGAGUGAUGAAGGUCUUCGGAUCGUAAAACUCUGUUAUUAGGGAAGAACAAAUGUGUAAGUAACUAUGCACGUCUUGACGGUACCUAAUCAGAAAGCCACGGCUAACUACGUG
rnacentral:rRNA from 1 species